rnacentral:rRNA from 1 species
GACGAACGCUGGCGGCGUGCUUAAUACAUGCAAGUCGAACGGACAGGCCCUGCGUUUGUGGGGUGCUCGAUUGGCGAACGGGUGAGUAACACGUGAGUAACCUGUCCCUGUCUUUGGGAUAACUUCAGGAAACUGCGGCUAAUACCGGAUAGGAUCUCCUGCUCCAUGUUGUGGGUUGGUAAGUUUCGGCGGUUGGGUAUGGAUUCGCGGCUUAUCCGCUUGUUUGUGGGGUAGUGGUUUACCAAGGGUUUGACGGGUAGCCGGCCUGAGAGGGUGACCGGCGACAUUACGCCUGAGAUAGGGACCAGAAGCGUACCGGCGGCAACAGUGGAGAGUCUUGCACAAUAGGGCGAAGCGUGUUGCAGCAACGCCGCGUGCGGGAUGACGGGUUUCUGGUUGUGAACCGAUGUCGAAUGAGACGAAGAGUUAGUGACGGUAAUUGGUAAGGAAGCAACGGCUAACUACGUG